UCCCUUGUGGCUCAGUUGGUAGAGCAUGGUGCUUGUGACAUCAGGGUUGUGGGUUUGAUUCCCACAGGGGAC
rnacentral:tRNA from 1 species